CCUUUUGCAGAUUCAACAUUACAUAGCUUUUUAUAAAUUCAGCUGAAUAUCAGAAGCUUUACGCAGAAUUGCCUUGGAGUAGGCAAGCAUCGAAAAGGUUUCCCUGCAAAAACUGAAUCUCAUCUGAACAUUUAAACACUUAAAAAAAAAUUAUUUAGUAUCAUCCUGAAGAAACUCUUAUAGCCUUUGAAUUUGAAAAUAAUGACAAAGUGAAGACUCUAAAGGGACAAUGAAAAGAAUGCAUCAGUCUUGCUCAGUUCAAGGUUUCUGCCGUCUGUGGAACAUGGAAUCAAACCAGAAUAUGUUGGCACAACAGCCCAGUCAGACCGGUUCUUCUGUAGAUCCAGAACCCGUCCAACCAGUCUGCAUCAAAGGCUAGCCCAACAAGCUGCAGCGGCUCAGCUCUGCUAAGCUCGUACAGGUGUCCACACUUUCUCUGAAGAAUGGAUCUCCCCUUCGAAAGCUUGAGCAUUAUCUGCUCUUUGUUUGAAAAUAAACGCAUUGUUCGUGUGUGGA